GUAUUUCGUUUGUGUCCUUGAAUUUUCCUCAUUCUCAAACGUAAAUCAGCCCUUCCGGUAUCUUGCUAACCGCAAGUAGCUGACAAUCCAGCCGUUCCGUCCAGUCGUUGCCCGUUGGUGGAUCUUGGCUCUCAUACGCGACUAAAAUGAUGUCCUCUAGAUGGCGCGCGUGUCUUCGUUGGAGAUGAAAAUUCCGCCAUUUUUUUUCUCGAGAAACUGAUAGAAAAUGUGUCGUAAAGUUGUGCGUUACGUUAUUACGGUGUACUUUACAUUUUUCGUCAAAAUGGUUUAACAUCAGGAUCAAGUCAAAACUAUUUUGAUUGCUUUCUAUGUGCGCAUGGUUUUGUUGCAGUCAGCUGGUGAAAGGUGUAAUCUUGUAAAGUUGAGCUGUUGCAUGCAGUGGAUGUGUGCAUGGUGCUGGUCUGGUCUGGUCUGGUCUGGUGUUACCUUUGGAGCUGUGAGAAGGAUCAUGAUGGUGUUACAGAAAUUGAGAACACGACAAAGUCUUAGCUUCAUGGCUGUCGUAUCAUUACCAUGAUUUUGUUGCAGCCAGCUGAUGAGAAAAGUGUGAUCGAUUCAAGUUGAGCUGCAGCUGCUUCCUUCCAAAUAACUGUUUAUGUUUAAAGAAAGCCAUAUUGUUGGUCAGCUUCCACUGAGAUUUUUUUUAUUUAUUUUCUUCCAAUCAAACUAGAACAAAAAUUCCCACUCAGUAUUUCCAAGUUUUUAUAACUUAUUGGAAGUAGAUGUACAUAAUUCUUUACUGGUUUCUUUUCAAAUUUACAUUAUUAUUCAUUUUCCCUAAAGUAAAUUUUAUUAUCUGUACCUUUUUUCACAUUUCAAAAUGUUAUUGGUUCAUUAAUGUUCUUUUGCUUUUUAGGAGUUCAUGGUCAGUGAUGUUUGAGCUGUUUUUGGUGUUGCUGUUUGGUGAACAGUGGUUUUGCAGUCCCUUUCCAGUUGAGAGAUGCUCUGAAAUGGAACUUGUGCAGACUUGUAGUUCAACAUCACACUUAAAUGUGUCAUUUGUCUAUGUUGGUGUCCAUGCAGUAUAUGCAGUGUUGAACAGUUGGGGUAAAAUAGUCUAUGCUGCCUGAUGGCUGUCGCCUGUCGGUCUUAUUUUAUCGGUUGCAUUUUGUCGAUAUGUCGUCUCUUGCUACCUCUGCCGGCGUUGAGUUGAAACGUUAGCCGCCGUUCCUUAGACUUGAUUCACCGGUGAAACUAAGAAGACGUAGCUGAAAUUCAAGAUUGAUCAAUAAAUUAUGUAGAUAAAUUACACGUGCAUAAUCUGGGUUCCCUUCUUCAGUGGCCCCGUUCCCCUAACUAACCAAUAACCAACGCCCGCCAGUGGUCACUCACUCGCUGCGACAACCAGGAGGGAGAUGUCUGUCGAACGGGGACUUGCUAGGCGCAUGAUUCGAUUAAAUCUGUUGGAGGGUCAUGAGUCUAAGCCGGAAGCCUACUAUGAUGCAUUUCUCUCAUGAUAACUGCUCCUCGGCUCUCUUCGCUCUUUUUCCGGUUUCUCUUAACCAUGGCCGGAACAACGCUUCCUUUGAGCGGCCCGGACAAUCCUGAACCCUUUAGGGUUGCUAUUCCAUCGAGGCUUAAACGAGGAUGACGCGGAGGUGUUGCCCAUUGAGGGGUUUUGGUGACAAGGAGUCACUGAACGAAACGCCAAACCAAAUGAAGAAAAAACAUUAAAAAAGACCCAUCCCCAGCAACGUCAUCCUGCAGAAAGAAAAAGGCCAUUUCUAUGGCCUUCAGAUUCGAAGAUCGCGGAGAUAAUUACGUAAAACUGGCAUGGGGUGGCGUAGAGGUUGGGUGAGAAUGGCACGUUUUUCAACAUUAUCAAGCAGACCCAUCCCCAGCAACGUCUACCUAAAGAAGGAAAGGCCAGUUUGCAUUUCAAUCGAAGGUCAUGGAGAUCAUUAAGUAAAAAGUGUCAUGCAGUGGUGUAGAGGUUGGGUGAGAACGGGACAUUUUGUAUCAUUUUAUCAAGAAGGUAAAAUAACCGCAAGGCAUAAGAGGAGGGGUGAGAAAAAGUCGUAUAAAAGGCGAGAGAAAAGUCGACAGGGAUCAGUCGAGCGAGUAUCUCCGACACGGUAACAGCUGCAUUCCACUAUCUGCCAUCAGCUGCAUUCUUCAUCGUACUAUCAGUUCUCAAUCAUGGUAAACUAUGCUGUCGUGCUGUUGUUGGGUGUUGUGUCGUUGAUGGCUGGUUCAGCCACUGGCGUACCGAUGUAUCCUGGGUAUGGCGGAUACCAAAGCACUACACUGCCGCCUUAGUACACAACUUACGACACAACCAGUUGCUACACCGAUCCCCCCAAGUACUUCACCACCAUGCUGCCCCGAGCUACUACACCGAAUCCCCGCAGUAUUAUUCUUCUCCGAGCUACACUACUAAAGGGUAGAGUACUACACCGAGGCUCCCCAACACUACAUCACCAAGGCACCGGAGUACUACACCACUACAUAUCAUGGUAAUGAAGGAGAGAAAAGGUGAAAGAUUUCAGCAGCCGAUUGAGCAUCUCCGUUACGGCAACAGGAACUGCCGUGCACUAUUUGUCAUCAACUUCAUUCUUCGUCGCAUUAAAAGUUUUAAAUAAAGUAAACUAUGGUGUCGUGCUGCUGUUGGGUGUUGUAUCGUUGAUGGGUGGUUCAGCCAUGGUGUACCGAUGUCUCCUGGGUAUGGCGGGUACUAUAGCACAACACUGCCGUGCCGUCUAACUAAUUAGCAUCAACUUCCGCUGCUCCAGCUUACUACACUGAGGUUUACAAGUGCUACACCACCAUGGAUCCAGAGUUUUACACCACAGCUCAUGUUGCCCCGACCUACUACGCUGAAUGCCCGAAGUAUUUUUCUUCCCCGAGCUACACUACCAAAGGGUCGAGAACUACGUCGAGGUUCCAAGUAUUACAUCACCAAGGCACCGGAGCACAAAAACGGUUGAAUACUACACAGAAGCUAUCAUGGGAAACUAUGGUGUCGUGCUGCUGUGAGUGUUGUAAUCAUGAUGGCUGGAUUGACCACUGGUGUGCCGAUAUCUCCUGGGUAUGGUGGGCAUCAACAACAACAUACGCAACAACCGCUUACUACACUGGGACCUGCAAGUGCCAAACCACCAAGGCUUCAGAGUAUUACACCACAGUUUAUGUUGGCACGAGCUACUACGCAGAAGCUCCGGAAUAAUUUUCUUCCCCGCUUCACUACCUUCACCACGCCGCCUCCUUACUCAACAACAACAACAACGUCAACACCUACUUACUAAACGAACGCCUCCAACUACCACACCGAGGGUCAACCUGUUACACCGCCGAAGCGCUCAAGUACUGCACUACAACCUACAUUUCACGAAGACACCGUAGUACUCCAUCACGAAGGCACCGGCACGUUAAACCGAGGCUCCAGUUUACUACACUGUAACCUACGCUGCUCCAAAGUACUACACCGACAAGGCAUCCGAGUAUGACACCACUACUUACGCUACUACCACCUACUACACCCAAGCUCCGAAAGCACUACUCUGCCCCGAGUUACUACACCACUAAGGCAGCCGAAUAUUACACCACAAACUACGAUUCCGCAAUUCGGUCACUUUCAUGGUCAUUGGUCACUGGAAAUUAAUUGUUGAUCUUUGAUGAGAAAAUAAAGUUUUAAUGCUGGUA